CUUAAAGGCAACCUUUUUCCUUAAAAUUGUAAAGUUAACGCUAAACUUGGUAAUCUUAUUUUAAUUGGACUACUGUAUCUCAACUCCUUCAAAUUCGCAACUCGUUAAAAUUCGCUAAACGCCCACGCACUCUCCCAUGUCUCUUCAUCCCUCUAAACCCUCAACGAUCAUCUUCCAAUUCAGUGAAGGAAGAACGCUAAUUAUCUCUGCCGCUUGUAAGCUUCCGUGAAGGUAAGAAUUUCUCCUAUACCUAAAGCAUCUGUGCAAAAAGGUCUUUUGUGAGUGUUUAAUUUAUCGUGAGUGUUCAUCAGUACCUUUCUCGCACCAGGAACUCUUGUCAUUGUUUAAUUUUACGUUAACUCUGAAAGUAAGAGAUAGCAAUUACCCCAAUGAUUUAUGUUCCUAUCAUAUAUAUAGAAAUUGAACUUUCAGUAAUGUGAUUUAAAUUGUUUCUACUUGUAUGUUUUGUUUAGUUUUUGCUAAUUAUAAAAUUUUUGUCCUUAUAUUUCUCUAUUGAACAACUAUUUCUGGAUUUCAGAGGAAAAUAAAUGAAAAAUUAUUUCUACUAUUGUAAACCGAGUAAAAUUAAUUUACACGAGGGCAACAUGAUAAGUGAAGAAGAAUGCAAUUAUUAUACAAUUUAUACUUGUAAUAUAUGACUGGAAAGAAAAAGAAGUAUAUGUGACUUUUGUAGGUUUACUAGCAAACAAAAUUGAUGUGAGAUAGUAAAUUUCACUUACAAGUAUGUGUCAAAUAGAAAACAGAUCCAACUUCUACUAUUUGGUUCUAAGAAAAUCUAAGUGUUUUUUUUCUCUUAAUUAAAUGGUUAUUCUGAAUCCUUCUCAAUUAGCUAUUUGUGGUGUUGUCGAUCUGUUUAAAUUGGUGAACUAAGAAUAUAAGAAGAUUUGGAUCUCAUUUACUUUGAGUAAACUAAUUAUUAUAUUAGCACUAAAAAUAGUGUUUUGUCAUUGUUUGUUAGAUAGGAAGCAUGAGUUCUUUUAGAGCUGAUCCUAUGUGGAUGUAUAAUAGACUAGUGCCAAGUCGGAAAGGAGUAACUUCUGCCUUCAUAGAAGGUGUGCACGAAUUUGUAAGGUUUGCAUUAAUGCAACAUGACUUCGUUUCUAAUGGAAGUAUAAGCUGUUCAUGUUCAAGAUGUAAAAACAUUAGCUGAAUUCUCUGCAUUUUAUAUUCCAAAACCUUACAUUUUCCUAGUACUAGGCUACUAGCUGAAUUCGCAAUUCGCGCUCAUAACAUAUCUUGUGAACAAAAUAGACACCAAAUUGUGAUAAUCAUACCAAAAUCUCCAUAAAAAAUAUAAUAGGUAAACUAUAAAUCCUUCUCCCACUAAAAGACAGAAAAAGAUCAUUUCUUAUCGAAGAAGAUCUAUUAAAAAGGGGAAAAAGUAGGUGAAUUAUUUUGCUAAAGGGUCAAAUAGAGAGGUCUCUGUUAUGCUUGUUCUAGCAAAAUAUUUGGAUGGUCAAAUUUUUAUACUUCAUAUGUUUUGUUAUGCUUGUUCUAGCAAAAUAUUUGGAUGGUCAAAUUUUUAUAUUUUAUAUGUUCUGUUUGGCUAGUGUAUUAUUACUAUUAUUUUUGUUGUUGUACUCUUCUUGCCAGUAUUUGAUCAGGAAGUAUGACAAGGGGAAGAGGCACUAAACGUAGUUGGGGAGGUCGUGGGGGCAUGUCUAACAAAGGGGGAGAAGGCUACCAACAACUACCGAACACUUCUCAUGCCAAUAUUAGUGAACCAUCAACCCCUACAUCUCAACAGGUUGGUUCAAACCAACAUAUUAUCUCAUCUCAUGAAAGUAGUUUUCGGCAGCUUAUACAUACAUCUCAAGAUGUUCAUGCUCAACAAACAACUUCUGCUUCUCAAAUGUUGGUGGUCAACAAGCAACUCUUGCUUCCCUGAAUAUUGGUCAUCAACAAGCACCUCGUUCUUCUCAGGAUGUUGGUUCUCAACAAGAAACUCAUUCUCAAGAUGUUCUGCUGAACAAACACUUGCAUCUUAUGGAAGUAAUAAUCCGCAGGCAAGAUGAGAUACUACUCGUGGAAUAAUAUCUUUGAAAGUAAACAGAGACACAUUUUGCCCGCAUGAAGUUGUUCGGAAUGUAACAAUAGCCUUUAAGAAAAGCUUCUCAGGAUCAUGGCAUUGUUGGAGCAAAGUUCCGGAGCAUGUACGAGAUAGAUGGUUCAAUGACUUCGAGAAAAAUUAUUCUUUUCCUAGUGCGGAUAAAGUUUUAUUCGACGGACUUUUGAGCAUGUGGGGAGUGAAAGGUUAAGUGACAUUUUGGGAAAAGCAAAAAGACAAUUUUCAAAAAUAAAAGAAUCACCGGGAUGGAUUGCUAAAGAUCACUGGGACGUUUUGAUGGAAUAUUGGAACUCUGAGAAUUUUAAAAAGAAAUCAAAAAUCAACUCGAAGAAUAGAAUGUCAUCUAAUAAUUUAGAAGGUCCUUCCUUACAUACCGGAUGAUCAGUUGCAUUUGCUGAGUACAGAAGAAGACACAAGGAGCUAACAGGGAAAGAUCUCCGUAAUGAUGAAUUAUUUCUGAAGACUCACAGAACCAAAAAUGAAAAGAAGUGGAUAUGUGGAAAGUCAGAAAGGAUGUGGAUCCAGGUACUUUAUUUCAGGCACACUAUCCUUGAGGCA